UGGGGAAUUUUGGACAAUGGGGGAAACCCUGAUCCAGCCAUCCCGCGUGUGCGAUGAAGGCCUUCGGGUUGUAAAGCACUUUUGGCAGGAAAGAAACGUCGCGGGUUAAUACCCCGCGGAACUGACGGUACCUGCAGAAUAAGCACCGGCUAACUACGUGCCAGCAGCCGCGGUAAUACGUAGGGUGCAAGCGUUAAUCGGAAUUACUGGGCGUAAAGCGUGCGCAGGCGGUUCGGAAAGAAAGAUGUGAAAUCCCAGAGCUUAACUUUGGAACUGCAUUUUUAACUACCGGGCUAGAGUGUGUCAGAGGGAGGUGGAAUUCCGCGUGUAGCAGUGAAAUGCGUAGAUAUGCGGAGGAACACCGAUGGCGAAGGCAGCCUCCUGGGAUAACACUGACGCUCAUGCACGAAAGCGUGGGGAGCAAACAGGAUUAGAUACCCUGGUAGUCCACGCCCUAAACGAUGUCAACUAGCUGUUGGGGUCUUCGGACCUUGGUAGCGCAGCUAACGCGUGAAGUUGACCGCCUGGGGAGUACGGUCGCAAGAUUAAAAACUCAAAUGAAAUUGACGGGGGUCAUA
rnacentral:rRNA from 1 species